rnacentral:rRNA from 1 species
UACAGAGGUCUCAAGCGUUGUUCGGAUUCAUUGGGCGUAAAGGGUGCGUAGGCCGCGCGGUAAGUCGGGUGUGAAAUCUCGGGGCUUAACUCCGAAACUGCAUUCGAUACUGCCGUGCUUGAGGACUGGAGAGGAGACUGGAAUUUACGGUGUAGCGGUGAAAUGCGUAGAUAUCGUAAGGAAGACCAGUGGCGAAGGCGGGUCUCUGAACAGUUCCUGACGCUGAGGCACGAAGGUCAGGGGAGCAAACGGG